rfam:Camelus ferus unplaced genomic scaffold scaffold533, whole genome shotgun sequence.
GAGGGUAUAGCUCAAGUGGUAGAGUGCAUGCUUAGCAUGCACAGGGUCCUGGGUUCAAUCCCCAGUAACUUCU